rnacentral:rRNA from 1 species
UACGUAGGAGGCGAGCGUUGUCCGGAAUUACUGGGCGUAAAGAGCGUGUAGGCGGUUUGCUAAGUCUGCCGUGAAAGCCCGCGGCUCAACUGCGGGAGGUCGGUGGAAACUAGCAGACUUGAGGACGGUAGAGGGGGGUGGAAUUCCCGGUGUAGUGGUGAAAUGCGUAGAGAUCGGGAGGAACACCAGUGGCGAAGGCGGCCCCCUGGGCCGCUCCUGACGCUGAGACGCGAAGGCCAGGGUAGCGAACGGG